rnacentral:rRNA from 1 species
CCCUUAGAUGUUCUGGGCCGCACGCGCGCUACACUGAUGCAUUCAACGAGUUCCUUGGCCGUGAGGCCUGGGCAAUCUUUUGAACCUGCAUCGUGAUAGGGAUAGAUUAUUGCAAUUAUUAAUCUUGAACGAGGAAUUCCUAGUAAACGCAGAUCAUCAGUCUGCAUUGAUUACGUCCCUGCCCUUUGUACACACCGCCCGUCGCACCUACCGAUUGAAUGGUCCGGUGAAGCCUCCGGAUUGGCGCGCACCUCGGUGCCGCCGAGAAGUUGGCUAAACCUUACCAUUUAGAGGAAGGUGAAGUCGUAACA